CGCCUGGCGUGGCCUGACCAGCGGCGAGUUGCUGAGAAAAAGAGAACAAAUGAGGGAAUGCAUUUAUAGAGCUCCUUAUCUGUACUCUAGAUCCAUUGAGAAAACAAAUCUCCCUCGUACUUUUUAGUAUACAAAACUUACCUCCAAGUAUUCUAUGGAUAAGGCAGUUUCCAGCGCUUUACCCGUUAGAUCUCUGCUGUUCGCCUCAUUGGCCAAAUCCAGUGGAGUUAAGCGAUUGAAGGUGCUAUUUCUUGUGCC